rnacentral:rRNA from 1 species
UGGGGAAUUUUGCGCAAUGGGCAAACGCCUGACGCAGCAACGCCGCGUGGAGGAUGAAGGUCUUUGGAUUGUAAACUCCUGUCAGCGGGGAAAAAGGGAUUUGGGUUAAUACCCCAGAAACUUGAUUGUACCCGCAGAGGAAGCCCCGGCUAACUCUGUGCCAGCAGCCGCGGUAAUACAGAGGGGGCGAGCGUUAUUCGGAAUUAUUGGGCGUAAAGGGCGCGUAGGUGGCCUUUCAAGUGACGGGUGAAAUCCCUCGGCUUAACCGAGGAACUGCCUGUCAGACUGGAAGGCUUGAGACCGGGAGAGGUGAGUGGAAUUCCCAGUGUAGCGGUGAAAUGCGUAGAUAUUGGGAGGAACACCAGUGGCGAAGGCGGCUCACUGGACCGGUACUGACGCUGAGGCGCGAAAGCGUGGGGAGCAAACAG